AUCGUAAACCAAAUCCUAAUUAAAUCUUAGAUCUUAAACAAACUCUUAACAAAUCCUAGAGCAGAAUGGAACCUUAACAACUAAUGAUCAAAUCAUUGAUAUCAAAUCAAUCGCACUUACCAAUUGCAAAAAAUGCAAGAUAAUCUAAUCAAGUGGUUGGAUGGUCUCCUACUCCAAUCUAAAUGCUCAACUUUUAGUGUCAAUAUCUCUUU
rnacentral:lncRNA from 1 species